UGGCCAUCUACAGCGCUGUACAUGCAAUUAGCAUACUGGCAAACAGCAAAUAACAACCCAUAUCGAACAUGCAAGCCAGGUGCAUCUCUUUUUUGGGGCUUGCCCACCGCUCCCUUUCCCCUCAUCUACUCCAUCCGCAUGCUACAUGCUGGCCCUGCUAGGCCCGCCUAGCCCGCUGCGCAUUGAUCCACAUCCCACACACAGCCAUCCCCGAGUUUCGCUCAACCAUGGCCUUGGAAUCAAGAUCGAGGAGAUCCUGCUUGUCAUAAGUGGCUGAACAUUGGUCAAAAACUCAGCUUCGUUCACCAUCAAAAUGGGGGUGUUAGCGCAACUAGUGACCUAAAACUAUCCGGGCCGACCAACAGCACAGAUCAAUCAGCGUUUGAAUUCCAGCAACCUUUUCCUCUUGAUUACGUUUUCAUCCGUCUACCGAAACUAAACCCCACCAUGGCUGUCCAGUGAGGAUUGAGAUAUCACACGUGGGAACGUCGUCUUUUAUUUAUUUUUUUUUGAUGAGUGCGGCUGUGGGAAUCUGUGAUCGACCAUCACGACCCUGCCAAGGAAUAAUUCUGCUGAGGUCGGUUUGUCUGGAUGCUUGGGAAGAG
rnacentral:sRNA from 2 species